UUGGACCUCUUUAAAACCUGAACAUUCACAUCAAAGUGCGUCAGAUGGCUGGGUGAAACACGCACAUCCCCCCAUACAUCUCCCCUCGUCCCUCCUCUCAUGUUCUCAUCUUUUCUCGUCUUUACCUGCUAACACUGACUCCAUUAGACAAAAGGUUGCACACACACAUAUGCACACACACACACACACUGAAACACACAUGCUGCUUUCAAAAAGAGAGUGACGGGGAUAGUGUGCGUGUCCCUACCUGUCAAUCAAGCCUCCAUUAGUGGCUACUUGGCUGGGUGGCUCAGGGUCGACUGCUGUAGAUGUAGAUGGGAGAUGACAGCACUGUUUCCUCUUCAAUAAAAACAUUUUCCAUCCCUGUUUGUGUGUGUGUGUGUGUGUGUGUGUGUGUGUGUGUGUGUGUGUGUGUGUGUGUGUGUGUGUGUGUGUGUGUGUGUGUGUGUGUAAUACUGGCCACAGCCACACUCACAUGCACAAAAUAACACACAGGUGCCCCUGAACACACCUGUAACAGCGUUCAAUCCACAUGAGGAGAGCGACUGUGAGGCUGUGAACUCAUUUUCUCUUCACUUUUGCUUCAUACGAGUGAGUGUGUGUGGACACAUUGCGUUUCCCCAAGCGGUGGCAAAUGCCUGCAGGAUUUCAAUUUUAUGUAAAAUUCUAAUCUCAUUCUGUGGACUUGAAGCAUUUUAAGUGUUUGUGAGAGCGUGUGUGUCCCUUGUGCCCCCCCUGGAGGCAGGUCGUCAUGAAUCAUGUCAGAGCAAAUCUGCUGUUGAAAGGAGCCCUGCGCACUGAAAGGAAGCAACACACACACACACACACACACACACACACACACACACACACACACACACACACACACACACACACACACACACACAGGCCAGUGGCUGGUUUGUAGCCAGCAGUCGUGAAUCACAGCGGUCAUCACUUGGUGUUUCAUAUGCGGAGCAUGACAGACACAGAUUAGUGGAGCUCUGCUUUGGCUGGCAUCUGCUCUGCUCUCCUCUGCACCUCCUUUUGCUCCCCUCUCUCUGUAACUUCUGUUUUUAUUUACACUUCUUCCUUUCUUCUCCUGCCUUUCCUCCCAAUGCUCCAAUAUUUUUUAUUCAUGAUUUUACUCCUACAUAUCUUUCAUCUCUUCGUCUUUUUGUCUUCACCUUAUUUUUGGAUAUUGAUUCUCUUUUCUCCACCUGUGUCGCCAGUUUACUAUCUCUUUCGUGAACCCCCUUUAAGGCUCAUUUUUUCCUCACAGCUGUAUACUCUUGGGUCAAAAAUCAUUUGCACAUAUGCUGGUAUUGAUAGGUCUCUAUUUCAAAACAUUAUAUUGAUUCUGUGCUAGAAAAUAGGGAUUAGGUACCAGAUGUGUUUGGGCUGCCAGAUUAGCUCGGGGUCCUGACAUCACACAAUAUGAUUGGCUGGAAGUUGGUUUGGGUGACAUGGAAGAUUGUGGUUGGUCUGGACAUUACGAAAGUGGUUUUUGCCAGAUUAGGUUUCAUGGGAUUGUAGUUCUUGGGAGAAAAUAUGGACAAUUUUUACGACAGCCAGGUUACCACCUCUUUUAGGUUGCCAAAGGAAAUGUGGAAUAAUAGCAAAACUAUCUAUUGAUAAAUGGAGAUCCUAUGUACAUUUUUUUUCUUUUUCCUUUAGAAAGUGAACAUAUACAAUCAAAGCCAUCUAAAAAUUACAGUACAGUAAGUUGUAAUUCUCUGUAUUAUAUGGAGAGAAAAUUUCGAGGUCAAUUGAAUGAACAAACAGAAAUAAAGAAAACCACAAGGGGCUUUAAACCGAGCACAUUUGACUUAUUAAAUGGAGCGCAGUGUAGUUUGUCUGAGUGGACUUGCCACAGUGUGACGUCUUUAACAGGCGCUUAGCCCCAAGCUGAUCUGGCAGCCCAAACACAUCUGGUACCUACAACUUUAUGACUGUAAUUUUAUUGUAGUAGUCAUAUAUGCUUGUUAACACAUGCCACUGAACUGUGAAAAGAGGAAGGAGAAGAAGCUGCUAGUGAGCUAGGUGUAGCAGCCCUCUGUGAGAUGACUUGGCACUUUUACAAACUGAUGUUUGAAGACUGAUUUUGAAUCCUUAAUCAAAGUUAGAGCUUGUGACUCUUCAAGUAAUUGAUCAGCCUAAUGUUUAUUCGUUCUAACCGUUCUUCACAACACACCAGUCUUCAUUUCUGAAUGUUUCAAAGUGGAGCUUGGUUAUGACUGUUAAUGUUUAAAUUGUUAACAAAGCUGUAACGUUUCUGCAAAAUACAUUACAGGCAGAAGAAAAGGUGUGGACUCCACUCUUUAUCAAACUCUCUCUCUCAUCUUAAACCCUACAUUCAAAGCAAACCAUGAUGCACUAUUAAGAAACUAAACCUUGUAAAGUGUUGGUGUUAUUAAAAAAGGUUUUGAAGCAGCUAAAUUAGGCGGCAUCUUUGGCACCCUGACUGCCUCUGGUCACUGUAAGCCUAAACCAGUUGGAGACAAUGUAGGUAGGCCAUGACUCCAUCACAUUUUUAAUGAGUCCUUUCAAAGUAAAAGCCCCCUUCUGCUUUAUACACUAAUAGGUUUCAACUGUUGCUGUCAUGCUAUAGGACAUUCCUGAUCUCGGUGACCCUUAAUGGCUGGUCCUGGUCACGCCUACAGCAUACCCAUGGUUUUAUUUCCCCCUAUUCUCACCUGUAAAUCUUAUCCUAGGCACUUUGGCAGUUUGAUGGUUAAGGUCUAAACUUUUUGUUUAAUUUGCAUCUCCUUCACCAUUUCCCAUGUUUUAAUUCUGCUUCCUUCUCAGCUUUUGUCGCCUAUUUUGUGUGGUUUGCUUUUAUCUGGUCCCUCUGCUAACCUUCACCCUGCCUUGUUUGUCCCUUUCACUGCAUCAGGUUUUUCAAUUUUAUUAUAUUUCUUUCCUCUUAAUAUCACUGCUACAUCUUCACUUCUACAUCCUCCCACCACUUCUCCACUAAAGUCUCCUCUUUUUUCCCUUAUUCUUCUAUAUUUCCUUCCCCAAAUUCUAAAUUACAAAUCUGUCAUUGCUCUAUCUUACAUUUUCUCAUGCUGCUUACCCUCUCUGCCUCAAAACCCCUCUUCUGUUCUCCUUCCCCUCUCCUUUCUUCACCUCCUUGCCUCCUUUUGCCUCCAAACCUAGCAUAGCCUUUUGGGGAAUCCAUUGAUAGGUGGUCUUUACACAAGUACAAAUUUGUAAGACACUGGUAAAAUAAACUAUCGAUCUGGUGAUAUUGACACACAGAGACGCGUAUUCGUUCAUGACUCUGCAUCUUUUUUGAAACGGGUCCGCAAGUGGAUAUCCGUGUAUUUUGUCUUCAUGCCGUAGUUGGUAUAAAUAGAUAAGUCCGGAAAAGACAGUGACCUCAUAGCACCCCUCCUCCUCCCUGUCCCCCAACCCACGUUGUCACACACAGGCCCUCAUUUAUCAAUCUUGCGCAGAUCUGAGCGCAGGAUUCAUCCUACGAUAGGACACGUGAGACUUAUGAAAGGGUUCAUAUCUGACCAAUCCCAGCGUACGUAUGAUUGGGUCUUGAUAAAUGCAGCGGCUGAAAUCGAUCAUCAUAAAUAUGUUACACCCUUAAAUAUUCGUGGUUCAGAAGCCUCGCCCACUGCGGUCAAACAUGAAAGAGGAGAAAUAUUAGAAAGAUUUGAAACUUUUCCGAGCUGAAAGUGGAUAUCCUCACAUCUGUGGUGGAAACUAACAAGGAUUUGCUCUUUGCAAGCAUCAAAACUGGUAUAAAAGCAGUCCAGAAAACUCCUGUCUGGAGCAGGAUUAUGGUGGCGCUGAACAGCGCUGCAGCGGAAUAGCAGACAGUGGCUGCAGUUUGAAUAAUUCAUUAGUUAAGUUGCUCACGAUGAUAAAUUAAUAUCUCAUACAUGUCUCAUAUUUGUUUAUUGCCAUGACAUAGGGUACGUUGCUCCUAUUAUUGAAAGUAUUUAGUUUUAAUUUGUUGUGUCUUUGUAAUGUAGAGCAGACUGAAGAGUCUGACAGAGGCUGAACAAAAAUAAUUAUUAACCUCACCAAACGGUGUGUUGCUGCCCCUGAGGCACAUUUUUAUGGAUUUCUAUUGGAUUUUAUCACUGAUUAAAUAGCAAGAGCACUUUCUCAACUUAUAUUUCACAUGUCAGAAUCCAUGGAUAAGGUCCUGUCUCCUCUGUGCAGCACCUUUGUGGAGUCUCUCCUCGUUAUUGUUCUCCGGGCAUCAGGUCCUCAUGUUGCACCGGCACAGCCAACGGCACUCCAUUUGCCAGUGCAACAUUGUGCAAAACUGUACUGACCCAAAUGAUGUCCCACACCCUUUCAGGAGUGUACAACAACGUCCCCGCUGCUGGGCUAAGAUAGAGACACCUGCCUUUUAGGAGUAAAACGCAGCGCUCCACAGUGGCGCAUGUGCAUGUGUGCGUAAUGUUGAAACGGCGCUCCUGCUCUGUGGCAGUGUUUCUGGGCAGAGUUAUCAAAUAGGCCUAUUCACUAAGGACAUAACAAAAUAAUUUAUUUUAUUUUAUUCUAUUUACGUCUUAAUCUUUAAUGAAAUCUGGCUGAUUGUGCUUAAUAACCGGUUUGAGGUUUGUUUAUCAAUUAUUUUGAGACAGACAUUUGCUGCACCACAGAUCCACACUGACUCAAACUUGCGUACACGAUGUCAGACCUGUCGUGAGAUUUGGUCGUCCUCGUGUGAGGACGGCCAUAGUCUUACAACAUACUGUAGCUGCUGUAUGAAGCAUCUGAAACACAAUGGAAAAAUAAGCUCAGUUGUAGUUAAAAGUCUAAUCAGCAUGGAUUAAAGAUUCCAUUUGUUGGAAAUAAAAUACAGUUCAAAUAUUAUUAUUAAUAAUUACCAUAAAUGUUUAAUUCUGCAUAUUUUCUUCAUUGGAUUUGACCUUGUGUGAUUAAUAAUCUGCCUCUUGCCUCCGGGCUCCUCUCAGUUAUCGAGUGUGUUAUAUUAGUCAGGAUUAUCAACGAUAAAAUAGAUUAAAUUUUUAUUUACCAGCUUUGCAUAAAUGCUUGAUUUUUUUUUUCUUGGGGUUGAAUUCCCUCUUUUUCUCUUUCAUAUUUUCUCUUCUAUCUCUCUCUUUGUCCAGGUUUCAUCUGCAUACUUUCAGUGAGUGUUUCAGGCGUGCAUUAAAUAUCCAUACCUCAAUGAAAGAAACAGUGAGCAUUGCUGUUGGAUGAGGCACGAGGUUUGGGUGUGUGUGUGUGUGUAUGUGUGUAUGUGUGUGUAUGUAUGUGUGUGUGUGUAAACUGAGGGCAAGGCUGCCAUCUAUCGUCUUGGUGUGAUCUCACCAUGUGUGCAUGCAUUAAUGUGGAACCAAACAGAGCUGCAUUUGUUUGAGCUUUUCUAUGAUAAUGUAUGUGCAGAAUAACCAUUAACGGGAAUCUGAUAACAAAUAGAGUUAAAGAAGCUAAAUAUAAGAAAGAAGAAGAUAUUUUGGCAACCAGCGAAUCCACCUGAAAGCAGCAAAUAAUCUGGCUUCAGAGAUCCAUAAACUAAUUUAACGUCAUAUCAACCAAUAAGACUAAUAGCUAUUCAAAAGAUGAUCACUAAAUGCCCCUUUUGCCCCAUGCCCCAUUUUUCUUUCUUUGCAGAUCCAUCCAUGUACCAACUUAUCCAUUUAACUUUCUAAUAAGUUCACAAUAACUUAUUUUACAUCUUUAUUCAACUAUUUGAGACCAUUUGUUUUUACAAAAUGUUGUUUGUUUUAUGCAUGUCGCUCUAACUUAAAUGCAUACCUGUAUUAAUGAUGUUUAGUUGAUUAUCAAAUGGAAGAAAAUUUCACUCGACUUUUCUGCAUCUUCAGCAGUCAGCUCUGCCCUGUGGUCAGUCAGUUUUUAAGCCGAGUAGGUUAUAUGCAGGUAAAGCCAGAAAAACAUAAAGUUCACAAAAACAGAUUAUAAGAUGUUUCCAAUUCUGUGUGAGGCAAAAACAGUAAAAAAUGGUAAAAGUUAUCUCACAUGUCUCAAUGAUCUCACAUAACCAAACUGCAUGAUGGUGGUAAGGGGUGGUAAAGUUUUAAGAAAGCCACCGUUCCAGUCAUUGAGGCUGCAUUAGGCAUUAUAAAUACUGCUUGAAAGCUUUUUGGAUGUUUAUUUAGCCGAUACAUUUCCCUAUAUUGUCUGAGAACAUGUUUUUGCAGAAAGAGAAAACUAAAAUUCAUCAAAAGACUCAGAGAGAGACUCAGUAGCAUGCAGUGAGGAAUAUUUACCAUUUUCUAAAAGGGUUAACUCUUUUUCUGUUGUGUGAGGAGUAGGUAAUAAUUCAUGCAAUGCUGCCUGCAAAACAGCAGAUGCACCUUUUAAAAAGAGUGCAGUGUUACUUGUCAGAUAUGAAUCCCAAAUGCAUUUUAUCGUUCUCAUGUUUUAUUACAUUCUUUUUGUAAAAUUAAGAGAUGUUAAAGUCUUCUUCUUUUUAUAGAUUUCCAGCAGGCUCUGCGGUUUAGAUUUUGAUGCUGUCCCCAGAGAUGAGCUGGAUGUCGUUCUGCGCUUUAGUGUUUCAAAUCAGAGCCGUCAGUAAAUUUGACUAAAUUACAGAUCUAUCCAGACUCUGACUUUGGAGUAAAUUAAAAAUCACCAGAGAUCCCUAGGUAAGUCUGUGGAAACACUGAUAUCUGUAUACAGAGUGGCAGUCUGACACUGACACUUAGAACUAGACGCUUACUCUUGAUGUUUCCACAUUGUUAAAACAUUUUCUGCUGAAAACUUUUGCAAAGGCAAAUCCCCUUUGUUUGCAACUUUAAAAAAGCUUUAGCUUCAGAGCGUAUAAAUAAUAAAUAAUACUUGAACAUUGAUUUCUUACCCGUCUUUCUCCGGGCUGGAUUUUGACAGCACUGGAUCCAAUGAGUGAAUGAAGUAAUGAUGCAGCUAAAUAUACAUGAUUGUGUUGCAUACUUAAUAUUAGUUUCAUGAACAAUGGCUUAAAGUUGCAUUUUGCCUGCAGGCCAAUCUCCUAUGCACAAACACAGAGAAGCAAAACUUAAUUGCUCAGACUUCUUUUAAGCUCUGCAGUGAAGUUGUUUGCCUACAGAUCUGAUAUGAGCUGCAACAUCUAAGCUCAAAGAGCAAUAUGAUGUUUGGUAACUCUGAGCCUCUGAGUCAAAAACCAAUAUAUUUCUUUACUCCUGACUCAAUAAAGUUCUCCAGGAGAAAAUUGCAUUCCUUUAAACGUGUGUUGGAGCCAGAAAUUAUCUGCUUCGUUUUGCUCCAAUGUUGCUGGAUUAUGUUUUGGGGCUUAAGGUUCGAGAUGUUGCAGCAAAUUAAUGGAUGAGUUCCCUCGAAAAAAUGUAUGUUUGCAGUUUUAGAGUGAAAAAACAACCUGCGUAGGGAGAGUUUUUUUCUCUUGAUAUACAGGCUUCUUACCAUCCACCAGCUACUGUAACUGUACUUUGAAUAACUACAGGUUUUGAUCAGCGCUUUAAGAGGAAAAAACAAGGUAAAAGUUGACUUUACUUUCAUCACACAACAGAGAAAGAUUUGGAAAGGAGAGGAGUGUAGCUGUAAACAUUAGACAAAUAAACGUGGAAAUAAUUUUCAAAGAGGAAAUCACAUUAAUUUACAGCAAAUGAAUCCAGAUCUGUGUCAUCAUCCAGCUCUGCUUCACUUCCUGUUCUCUUUGAGCUCUUUUCGAUCCAGAUUUCUGUGGCUCAUCCAACACCGUGGAGACUUGUAAAUUAGCACAAGUUUUAUGUUUCUCUGCAUUAAAAACAAACAAGUAAAUGUUCCAAAACGACUGUAAAAGGGCGAGGGCAUCACAAAGUGAACCAUAGAGCGUAACGCAUCCAUUAGCUGAAGGCAAACUGAGGAAAACAGCAAAUCAGACACAGAAACAACAUUACAGCAUCCAGUUUUACAAAUAAAACGUUUAAUGUUUUCAGCUGGGAGGAUUUAAUGUAUCUACACCAUGGUGAGGGGAGAUGGGAAUCAACAGGUCAAAGGCUCGUCCUGUCCCAAAUAAAAGCAGGGCGAGUUUACUGAUAGAAACAAGUAGAGUGUUACGGGAUACUUAAGGCUGAAUUAUGAAACUGAAAGAGAAACUACGAAAUGGAGAGUACUGGAAACGAAAUGUUAUGAAUAUAACUUCUGUUCCCUGAAGGAGAGGAACGAGGUACAACACAUAUAGUAUGGGAUAUCACGCCCCUGCGUGACCUGACUGAAGACACCUUUAUUCACGCCUUUAAGGCAGAUGAUCUGUGGUGACGUCUGGGAGGCUCCGCCUGCACAUAUAUACGUGUAACACCACAGUCAUCCUUCAGUUCGAUAGCCGCUCUUCACCGAGCUCUGCCGCGCAGCGGGGCAACCCAGUGUUGUACCUCGUUCCUCUCCUUCAGGGAACAGAAGUUAUAUUCAUAACAUUUCGUUCCCUUUCAGUCGAUUCACUCGGUACAACACAUAUAGUAUGGGACAUAUAUACACGCCCCGCAGAGCAGCCACCGAACCGAAGUCAAACCUCCAAAACUUUUAGUGCAUUGUAGACCCAGCAGAAAGGACAGCGUGAGCCACCGAAGGUGCUGUCACAUCCAAACGGUAAAACCGAACAAAAGUGUGCGGUGAUGACCAACUGGCUGCAGUGCAGAUAUCACUCACAGAAACCCCUUUAAACAAGGCCCAAGAGGCCGCCAUUCCCCUGGUUGAAUGUGCCCUCACACCUUGGGGCAACGGGAGACCCCUGCUGCCGUAUGCUAAGGAGAUAGCCUCCACAAUCCAGUGGGAAAGCCGCUGCUUAGACAGCGCCUUGCCCUUGGCUGGAUUAGCAAAACAGACAAACAACUGGUCACAUAAACGCACACUCUGAGUGCGGUCUAUGUAAGUGCGUAGUGCACGCACAGGGCACAAGGAAUGCAACCUCCUCUGCUCCUCAGAUGCAAAUGGAGGGGGGCAGAAGCUCAGCAGUUCAAAACUCAUAGAGUUAUAGGCUGUGGGGAUAAUCUUAGGUAAAUACGCCGCGUUCGGACGCAAUGUAGCCUUAGAUCCAUCCGGAGUGAACUGGGUACAAGAGGGAUGCACAGACAAAGCAUGAAGGUCGCCCACUCGCUUUGCAGACGUCAAAGCAAGUAGCAGUGCAGUCUUGUAUGAAAGAAAUUUCAUGUCUGCUGACUCAAUAGGCUCAAAUGGGGGUCCACCAAGAGCCUCAAGCACCAACCCUAAAUCCCAUGAGGGAACACUGGGUUUAAGAACAGGUCUUAGCCUGCGGACUCCCUUUAGGAAGCGCAUAGCAAGAGGGUGAGCGCCUGGCGUCACACCAUCAAAGCCAACAUGGCAUGCAGAUAUAGCCGCCAAAUAGACCUUAAUUGUUGAGAAAGAGAGACCCUUAUCCAGCAGGUCCUGAAGGAAUGUUAAAACAUCCACAAUAGAACUCUGAAAUGGGAGUACAUUUCGGUCCUGACACCACUGCUCAAACGCCCGCCAUUUAUAGGCAUAUAGGCCCCUAGUAGAUGAUGCCCUUGCACUCUGGAUUGUUGCCACCACAUUUGGGGGCAGACCCUGAGCCAUUAAGUUGGACCUUUCAACAGGUAAGCAUGUAGUUUCCACAGUUCUGGGCGCGGGUGAAUCACCUCUCCUCCCGCCUGGGAGAGGAGGUCCCUGCAAAAAGGGAGCUGCCAGGGCCUCGCUACCAGCAGACUGAUUAUCUCUGCGUACCACGACUUCGCCGGCCAGCGAGGAGCCACCAGGAUCAGGGAGAGCCCCUGCUGGCGCAACCUCUCCAGAAUGGGCAGAAUCAUUUCCACUGGGGGAAAAGCAUAUAGCAGCGUGUUGGGCCAUGGGUGAGCUAGCGCAUCCAUCCCCAGGGGAGCAUUGCAGUCUGUUAUGGAAAAGAACAGGGGGCAAUGAGUAUUUGCUCUGGAGGCAAAAAGAUCUACUUCUGCCUUGCCGAAGCGGUCCCAUAUCUGAGCCACCACUAGUGGGUGCAAUCUCCACUCUCUCACAAGAGGACCCCCCUGGAGAGAAGGUCUGGUCCAAGGUUUAAGUGACCCGGAAUAUGUGUGGCUCUGAGGGACAGAAAAUGAACACUGCACCAUAGCAACAGAUAGUGAGACAGUUUUAACAGGGGAAGAGAGCGUGUCCCUCCCUGCUUGUUUAUGUAAGAAACCACGGUUGUGUUGUCCGUCCUGAUCAGAACAUGAUGGCCUGUCAGAACGGGACGAAAGUGCUUCAGAGCUAAAAGGGUAGCUAGUAGCUCCAGGUAAUUGAUGUGGAGUUUGCAUUGUGCUGGCGUCCACACACCUCUCACUGCUGCGCCCUCGCACAGAGCCCCCCAACCCCUUAGGGAUGCGUCUGUGGACACCACCUUGCGAAAAGACACCCUCCCUAUCGGAGAUCCCUGUUGUAGAAAACCGGGUUCUCUCCACGGGAGAAGAGCCGACAUGCAAGACUGAGUUAUCGUCAGCCUCCUCUGGAGGUGACGCUGCGCGCACAGCCGGUGAGACUGAGUCCAGCGUUGAAACGCUCUCAUUUUUAACAGUCCGAGCGGCACUACAGCGAUCAUAGAUGCCAUCAUGCCUGUCAGCUGUAAAAUCGUCCGGAAACACAGUUUGCGUCCCAACUGAAAUUGUGCAAGGCAGCGGUGAAACGCAGCCACCCUGCGUUCUGACAGACGUGCUCGGCUUGAAACGGAGCAUAUUUCCAGCCCGAGAAAUGAUACCUGUUGACUCGGAGUCAGUGAACUUUUCUGUAAAUUUACUGAAAAGCCCAGUGUUUGGAUGUGCGAUAGGGUCAAUGACAGCUGAGCCGCUGCUCGCUCUCUGGAGCUCGCGAUUAGCACCCAAUCGUCCAGAUAGGCUAAGAUGCGAACACCUUUCUCCCGUAGCGGAGCUAAUGCCGCCUCGACACAUUUGGUGAAUGUUCGGGGGGCGAGUGAUAAGCCGAACGGCAGCACCAGGUAUUCGUAGGCUAUGCCCUCGAAUGCAAACCUUAGAAACUGCCUGUGGUCCGGAUGAAUUGCUACCUGAAAGUAAGCAUCUGUCAGAUCGAUAGUUGUAAACCAAUCUCCCGGUCUGAUCGCGCCCAGUAGCUGUCUGAGUGUUAGCAUCUUGAACCUGUAGGUUCGUAGGUAUUUGUUUAACACUCGCAAGUCUAGGAUAGGACGGAGCCCUCCUCCUUUUUUCGGAACAACGAAAUAGCGGCUGUACCAACCUUUGUUCGUUUCCGAAGCGGGAACAACUCGUAUCGCUCUCUUGUUCAACAAGUUGUUUAUUUCUUCCCUCAGCACUGCUGCUGCUUCCUCUGCUACAACUGUGUGUAUUACAGAGUGAAAGCGAGGCGGCCGGACCCUGAACUGUAAGCGGCAGUUCUCUCUACCCACGGUGAGACUGCGCAUGCGCGCCACCGAGAGAGACGAACAGUCAGUCGACUGACCUCCAGUACUGUGGGGGAGGGGUUGUCGCCCCCUAGCGUGCCGGCUGGGAACGGCAACACUUUCUCGCCCAGACUUGAUUGAUUCAUGAUGUUUUGAGAACAAAACGAAACCUUUAUUUGAUUCAAAGAACAUACAUUUGUGACAUUCACACAGUGAACAACAGGCGCCAUUAUUGGGGCAUGUGUAUGUGAGGGGGGGUUGUGCUUGGGAGACUGUGUUAAGGGAGUGCAGCGCCUCUCGGGACCGGACCCCUGAACGAACUUUAAACGCGGCCUCUUUGGCGGCAGAAAAAGAAGGGCGGCAGUGUCUCCGUGCUGCUGGCCCUCUCGAGUCGAUCCCGAAGCUAGGAUGACUGCUGCUUCUUCUUCCUGGGCGCCGAGUCCCUCCGGAAGCUCGGUGGCGGACCCUUGUUCCAAGCCGAAGGGCGUGGGUUCUGACCGGGUACAUGUCGCUUCAUUGGCUGGGGCCCUAAGCUGGCGGGCGCUGCAGUCCUCUUAGGGGGAGGCGCUGGUGCCGGUUUGUGCAGAUAACCCUGUUGUUUGGGCCUCGCAUCACGCCUGGGGAUGAUGCUUCUCAAAGCUUCGGUUUGUUUUUUCCUCAGCUCAAACUUAGCUUGAAUGUCGUCGAGGGACUGCCCAAACAAACCGCUGGCCGACACAGGCUCGUCCAGAUAAACCGCUCUGUCCCUCUCCGGAACGUCGGAGAGAGUCAGCCACAGGUGCCUCUGCGCCACCACCGUGGAAGCCAUGCCUCUACCGAGAGACAGCGCUGCACAGCGGGACACACGGAGGAUGUAAUCUGUGGCGACCCUAGCUUCAUUGAGGAGAGGAGUAAGCGGACUGUCAGGAGGCAUACGCGAGCCGAGUUCUGCCAGACACAUAGCUUGAUAUGUCUGAAGCAUAGUGACGGAGCUCAGUGCACGAGCCGUAUUUGCCUGUGUCCUGUAAAUUUUAUCCAGCUGUGACGCUGAAAAUCUACAGUGCUUGGAUGGGAGCGUGAUGGGGCCACCGACACCGUGAUUCUGGGCCGGGGCCAG